rnacentral:rRNA from 1 species
AUACGGAGGGUGCAAGCGUUACUCGGAAUCACUGGGCGUAAAGCGCGCGCAGGCGGGCUGAUAAGUUGGAUGUGAAAGCCUACGGCUCAACCGUAGAACUGCAUCCAAAACUGUCAGUCUAGAGUCUGGGAGGGGAAGAUGGAAUUAGUUGUGUAGGGGUAAAAUCCGUAGAGAUAACUAGGAAUACCAAAAGCGAAGGCGAUCUUCUGGAACAGUACUGGCGCUGCGGCGCGAAAGCGUGGGGAGCAAACAGGAUUAGAUACCCUUGUAGUCC